ACGGCUCAGUAACACGUGGACAACCCGCCCUUAGGUUGGGUAUAAACCCGGGAAACUGGGUAUAAUACCCGAUAGGUCUCGAUUGCUGGAAUGCAUCGAGAUUUAAAGCUCCGGCGCCUAAGGAUGGGUCUGCGGCCUAUCAGGUAGUAGUGGGUGUAGCGUACCUACUAGCCUACGACGGGUACGGGUUGUGAGAGCAAGAGCCCGGAGAUGGAUUCUGAGACACGAAUCCAGGCCCUACGGGGUGCAGCAGGCGCGAAAACUUUACAAUGCUGGCAACAGCGAUAAGGGAACCUCGAGUGCCAGGUUACAAAUCUGGCUGUCGAGAUGCCUAAAAAGCAUUUCAUAGCAAGGGCCGGGCAAGACCGGUGCCAGCCGCCGCGGUAACACCGGCGGCUCGAGUGGUAACCGUUAUUAUUGGGUCUAAAGGGUCUGUAGCCGGCCGGAUAAGUCUCUUGAGAAAUCUGGCAGCUUAACUGUCAGGCUUUCAGGAGAUGCUGUCUGGCUCGAGGCCGGGAGAGGUGAGAGGUACUUCAGGGGUAGGGGUGAAAUCUUGUAAUCCUUGAAGGACCACCAGUGGCGAAGGCGUCUCACCAGAACGGACCUGACGGCAAGGGACGAAAGCUAGGGGCACGAACCGGAUUAGAUACCCGGGUAGUCCUAGCCGUAAACGAUACUCGCUAGGUGUCGGCCACGGUGCGACCGUUGUCGGUGCCGUANGGAAGCCGUGAAGCGAGCCACCUGGGAAGUACGGCCGCAAGGCUGAAACUUAAAGGAAUUGGCGGGGGAGCAC
rnacentral:rRNA from 1 species